rnacentral:lncRNA from 1 species
GCAUCACAAAAGGAGCUUGGGAAUGGGCAAGGAUGAGUCCAAGGCAGACCCUAUUGCCGUAGCCUCUUACUACAUGCCCAAGUGGGAAUUUCUUAAGGCCCAGCAGUGGCAUCACAGAGCUGGGUUGCUCGUGGUCCUUGGAAAAGGCCAUGUCCCGGAGGACUGGUCCUGAGUCCACCACCUGCACAGUCUCAUAUUGGAGGGCAUUUCCCUUGGGCCCAUCAACCCGGAUCUGCAGAGAAGAGAGAGGGGAAAGGAUCAGUUCGCUGAGGCUGUGCUGGCCUUUAGAGGUCCUGUUGCCCUGUGCCUUACUCUACAGUGCACUCGGUUAUUAUGCUUAUUGUGUGACCUCUUCCUGGAAUGUAGAAACCUUUAUUAAAACGUAUCUCUUGCACCCUUGAAC